AUCAAAUGAGACCAAAAUCAUAAUUUUCGGUGAAUGAGAUCAGGUUUUGAGGAAAAUGGCACUUGUUAUUUACACUGCUAGUACCUAAAU